rnacentral:rRNA from 1 species
UACGGAAGGCAGCAGUGGGGAAUAUUGCACAAUGGGCGCAAGCCUGAUGCAGCCAUGCCGCGUGUAUGAAAAAGGCCUUCGGGUUGUAAAGUACUUUCAGUCGUGAGGAAGGUGUUAAGGUUAAUAACCUUAGCAAUUGACGUUAGCGACAGAAGAAGCACCGGCUAACUCCGUGCCAGCAGCCGCGGUAAUACGGAGGGUGCGAGCGUUAAUCGGAAUUACUGGGCGUAAAGGGCACGCAGGCGGUUAAUUAAGUUGGAUGUGAAUCCCCGGGCUUAACCUGGGAAUGGCAUUCAAGACUGGUUAGCUAGAGUCUUGUAGAGGGGGUAGAAUUCCAUGUGUAGCGGUGAAAUGCGUAGAGAUGUGGAGGAAUCCGGUGGCGAAGGCGGCCCCUGGACAAAGACUGACGCUCAUGUGCGAAAGCGUGGGGAGCAAACAGGGAUUAGAUACC